UCGAACGGAGAUAUUUAUUUCGGUAGAUAUCUUAGUGGCGCACGGGUGAGUAACGCGUGAAUAACCUGACCCGAAGAGGGGGAUAACACCUGGAAACAAGUGCUAAUACCGCAUAAGACCACGGACCGGCAUCGGUCAGAGGUCAAAGGAGAAAUCCGCUUUGGGAGGGGUUCGCGUCCCAUUAGGUAGUUGGUGAGGUAACGGCCCACCAAGCCGACGAUGGGUAGCCGAGCUGAGAGGCUGAUCGGCCACACUGGAACUGAGACACGGUCCAGACUCCUACGGGAGGCAGCAGUGGGGAAUAUUGGGCAAUGGGCGCAAGCCUGACCCAGCAACGCCGCGUGAGGGAAGAAGGUUUUCGGAUUGUAAACCUCUGUCGCAGGGGACGAAGGAAGUGACGGUACCCUGUAAGAAAGCCCCGGCUAACUACGUGCCAGCAGCCGCGGUAAUACGUAGGGGGCGAGCGUUGUCCGGAAUUACUGGGCGUAAAGGGAGCGUAGGCGGUCGAUUAAGUUAGAUGUGAAACCCCCGGGCUUAACUUGGGGACUGCAUCUAAUACUGGUUGACUUAGAGUACAGGAGAGGGAAGCGGAAUUCCUAGUGUAGCGGUGAAAUGCGUAGAUAUUAGGAGGAACACCAGUGGCGAAGGCGGCUUUCUGGACUGACACUGACGCUGAGGCUCGAAAGCGUGGGGAGCA
rnacentral:rRNA from 1 species